AAGUCGUAACAAGGUUUUCUCUGCCGGAGUGGCUUGAUGCUCGCUUUUUUUGUAUCCGACUCUAACUCUCAGUUCGAUGGGAAUGCUCUGACGCGUUCUUGUUUCGAUUCACAGUCCUUUUUUGAACCUUUGGGAAAAAUUAUCCGUUCUGAGCCGGAUUUUUGAUCCCUUUGGAGAGAACGGGGACGUACACUUGGUCUUGAAAUUCUUUGGGAAGAUGCCGUUCUGCGCCGGAUCUCCUCAACGUCGGAAGAGACACGGUGGGUGGAUUGGGACUUUUUCUCGGAUGAGAUCGCCUCAUGGAUAGCCGUUGUGGCACCACCAAAAACAUUGCCAGUACCAUGCUCCGGUAAAACGGAAGCAUUAUAGUAACCCGAACAACUGUUAACAAUGGAUAUCUUGGUUCUC
rnacentral:misc_RNA from 1 species